rnacentral:rRNA from 1 species
CCUACGGGCGGCAGCAGUGGGGAAUAUUGCACAAUGGGCGCAAGCCUGAUGCAGCCAUGCCGCGUGUGUGAAGAAGGCCUUCGGGUUGUAAAGCACUUUCAGCGGGGAGGAAGGCGGUGAGGUUAAUAACCUCAUCGAUUGAUGUUACCCGCAGAAGAAGCACCGGCUAACUCCGUGCCAGCAGCCGCGGUAAUACGGAGGGUGCAAGCGUUAAUCGGAAUUACUGGGCGUAAAGCGCACGCAGGCGGUCUGUCAAGUCGGAUGUGAAAUCCCCGGGCUCAACCUGGGAACUGCAUUCGAAACUGGCAGGCUAGAGUCUUGUAGAGGGGGGUAGAAUUCCAGGUGUAGCGGUGAAAUGCGUAGAGAUCUGGAGGAAUACCGGUGGCGAAGGCGGCCCCCUGGACAAAGACUGACGCUCAGGUGCGAAAGCGUGGGGAGCAAACAGGAUUAGAUACCCGUGUAGUC